CCCUUAGAUGUUCUGGGCUGCACACGUGCUACACUGGCAGGUUCAGCGAGCUUCAUGCCCUGAUCUGAAAGGAAUGGGAAAUCUUUUCAAAACCUGCCGUGCUUGGGAUGGAUGUUUGCAAUUAUUCAUCUUCAACGAGGAUUGCCUUGUAAGCGCACGUCACCAGCGUGCAUUGAAUACGACCCUGUAUUCUGUACACACCGCCCGUCGCUCCUACCGAUUGAAGUUUUCGGUGAGUUGACAGGAGGAUUUUUUUGAAACUGGUUCGCCAGUGGAUUUUAGAUCCAAAUGCCAACGAAUCGAUGGCUUUAGAGGAAGGAGAAGUCGUAACA
rnacentral:rRNA from 1 species